UUCCAUUUCUAGAGGAAAUCACUGUAAUUGAAUGCCCAUUGCUUAGGAAGCUUCCACUCAACACUGAAAGCGCAAAAGGUAAAGUUGUCAUUGAAGCAGAUAAACACUGGUGGGAUAGUGUUCAAUGGGAUGAUGAAGCUUCUAAAACUGCUUUUCAGUCCGGUUUCCAAGAUCUUGGGGGACGGUCUUGAUUUUCAUUUGUGCAUUAUUUUCUGUCCUGGAAAGUCUUGUAUUGGUCCAUGCAAUAUAACCAUAA
rnacentral:misc_RNA from 1 species